rnacentral:miRNA from 10 species
GCAGCAGCAGCAGUACAAGUAACAGCUGUAGCUGUGCGUAACAGCAGUAGAAGCAGUGAGAGCCGUUGCAGCAGUGACAGCCGUUGCAGC